rnacentral:rRNA from 1 species
UCCUUUGACGUUAGCGGCGGACGGGUGAGUAACACGUGGGUAACCUACCUAUAAGACUGGAAUAACUCCGGGAAACCGGGGCUAAUGCCGGAUAACAUUUAGAACCGCAUGGUUCUAAAGUGAAAGAUGGUUUUGCUAUCACUUAUAGAUGGACCCGCGCCGUAUUAGCUAGUUGGUAAGGUAAUGGCUUACCAAGGCAACGAUACGUAGCCGACCUGAGAGGGUGAUCGGCCACACUGGAACUGAGACACGGUCCAGACUCCUACGGGAGGCAGCAGUAGGGAAUCUUCCGCAAUGGGCGAAAGCCUGACGGAGCAACGCCGCGUGAGUGAUGAAGGGUUUCGGCUCGUAAAACUCUGUUAUUAGGGAAGAACAAACGUGUAAGUAACUGUGCACGUCUUGACGGUACCUAAUCAGAAAGCCACGGCUAACUACGUGCCAGCAGCCGCGGUAAUACGUAGGUGGCAAGCGUUAUCCGGAAUUAUUGGGCGUAAAGCGCGCGUAGGCGGUUUCUUAAGUCUGAUGUGAAAGCCCACGGCUCAACCGUGGAGGGUCAUUGGAAACUGGGAGACUUGAGUGCAGAAGAGGAAAGUGGAAUUCCAUGUGUAGCGGUGAAAUGCGCAGAGAUAUGGAGGAACACCAGUGGCGAAGGCGACUUUCUGGUCUGUAACUGACGCUGAUGUGC